rnacentral:rRNA from 1 species
CCUGCAGGCGGCCGCACUAGUGAUUACGGCUCAGUAACACGUGGAUAACCUACCCUCAGAUCUGGGAUAACUCCGGGAAACUGGAGAUAAUACCGGAUAAUCCGUGAACGCUGGAAUGCCUCGCGGUUGAAAGCUUUAGCGUCUGAGGAUGGGUCUGCGGCCGAUUAGGUAGUUGCUGGGGUAACGUCCCAACAAGCCGAUAAUCGGUACGGGUUGUGAGAGCAAGAGCCCGGAGAUGGAUUCUGAGACACGAAUCCAGGUCCUACGGGGCGCAGCAGGCGCGAAAACUUUACACUGCGCGAAAGCGCGAUAAGGGGACCUCGAGUGCGUGCGCAAUGCGUACGCUUUUCAGAUGCCUAAAAAGCAUGUGGAAUAAGGGCCGGGCAAGACCGGUGCCAGCCGCCGCGGUAACACCGGCGGCUCAAGUGGUGGCCGCUAUUAUUGGGCUUAAAGGGUCCGUAGCCGGACCAGUUAGUCCCUUGGGAAAUCUUACGGCUUAACCGUAAGGCUGCCAAUGGAUACUGCUGGUCUUGGGACCGGGAGAGGUAAGAGGUACCUCAGGGGUAGGAGUGAAAUCCUGUAAUCCUUGAGGGACCGCCAGUGGCGAAGGCGUCUUACUAGAACGGGUCCGACGGUGAGGGACGAAAGCUAGGGGCACGAACCGGAUUAGAUACCCGGGUAGUCCUAGCCGUAAACGAUGCGAGCUAGGUGUCACGUGGAUUGCGAAUCCAUGUGGUGCCGAAGGGAAACCGUGAAGCUCGCCGCCUGGGAAGUACGGCCGCAAGGCUGAAACUUAAAGGAAUUGGCGGGGGAGCA